CUGACAACAGUCAUGCUUCCUGUUUUAGGAGUGGAUUGAGCAGCUGGAGCUGUAGCAGCUGUCUCAGGAUUAUGUGCAGCAGGCCUUGAGCAGCAGAGGCAAUCAAAUCAGACCCAGGUCUCGGACGGGAGUCGCUGAGCUGCCAACCACCAAAUUUCAUUUAAAAUAAACAACAAAUGUCCUUAUGGAUUACAUUAUGGGUCACCAAACAACAACCUGCAGGUCAGAUCCAGCACACCAUCUGUUUUUGGAAGGCUCGGCAGUCAUAUAGCUGGAGGUUGGGUCUUUGGAUGUUUGACCUCUGAAGAUCCCUUCCAGAUCUACAUGUAAUUAUUCUUGUGAUUAUAGUUAAACCUCUAUCAUGCCAAUCAAAUGCUAAACCUUUCACAGAAUCCCCUGAAGGCUUGGUCUUGGAUCUCAAGGAAUUUUUUUAAGACUCUUUCAAACUGUAUUAAGAAUAGGUCACAUUCUGAAGACAUUUUAAAGAAAUGAUUCAUGAAGAUUGAUGACUCUGAGAAAAUGUGAGUGACAGAGCCUAAGAUUUCAAGGCAUUUACUUGUCUAUUUAAAUUUACAAAUUAGAGAAAAAUUGACUUGUCCUAUUUAAUUUGAAAAACUUCAGAACUCUCCAGUUUAAACUACUAAUAAUUGUAGCCAUGUUUUAUUACAUCUUUACCCAGGGGCUUAUCAAAAGUUUUGC
rnacentral:lncRNA from 1 species